AUGGAGGUGAUGAUUAUUUCCCCAGAUGAUCUACGCUGAAAUUACCGAGCGCUCUUCUCGUUUAUCGAGAAAGUCCAAGCCAGGAUAUUCUGAUCCAU